GGCCAGCUACCUCAGCUGGUUAGAGGGUGGUACUAAUAAUGCCAAGGUUGUGGGUUCAAGCCCCAUGCUGGCCA